GCCCAUUCAAACAACAAGAUUCAACAGAAACUUCUUCCCUCUGGUGAGAAGUCAGCUUCCCGGCAUCGCUGCAGUGAGCCUGGAGCCCUGAGAACAGGCCCCCAGUCAUUAUCCUAACAAGGUAGAGGAAAACUUUUCCCUGCCCCGUCUCCACCUGCUCAUCUAAGCUUCCAUGACUCCAACAUUCUACACAAGUCUAUGAUUUACCUAAGAACUAAAUUCUACUUCAUUUUCUUCAAGGCAGAAAGAAGCCAGCAAAGAACCUGGGGCCCUUUAAAACCCACCCUGAUUGCUUGGAAUUGGAGGGAUUUGCCAAUGAAAUCUCAAGGAUCCUGGCUGCAUUUCUGCCCUGUCAGCACCCCCGGUGUUAUCGGAAAAGGGGGUCCUGAUACAGAACUCAAGAGAGGGUUCUUGGACCUCACACAACAAAGAGUUUGGGGAGAGUCCAUAAAGUGAAAGCAAGUUUAUUAAGGAAAUAAAGGAAUAAAAGAACGGCUACUCCAUAGGCAGAGCAGCAGCUUGGGCUGCUGGACUAAGGAUACUUAUUGCUUGAUUAUAUGCUAAACAGGGGGUGAAUUAUUCAUGAUUUUUCAGGAAAGGGGUGGGCAAUUUCCGGAGCUGAGGGUUCCCCCUCUUUUAGACCAUAUAGGGUAACUUCCUGAUGUUGCCGUGGCAUUUGUAAACUGUCGUGGCACUGGUGGGAGUGUCUUUUAGCAUGCUACUGCAUUGUAAUUAGUGUAUAAUGAGUGGUGAGGAUGACCAGAGGUCACUUUCAUGACCAUCUUGGUUUUGUUGAGUUUUGGCCGGUGUCUUUACUGCAACCUGUUUUAUCAGCAAGGUCUUUUAUGACCUGUAUCUUGUGCCGACCUCCUAUCUCAUCAACGCGUGACUAAGGAUGCCUUAACUUUUUGGGAAUGCAGCCCAGUAGGUCUCAGCAUUAUUUUACUCAGCUCCUGUUCAAGAUGGAGUCGCUCUGGUUUGAAUGCCUCUGACAACAGCAUAUACCCUAGGGAAACUUGAUUUCUAGAGCACAAACCCGCAAAGAGAAUGCCAUGGGUCCUAGUAGUGUCCUUCAUUCAUCUGUCAAUUCAAUGCAAAUGUAUGGAACACCAACUGUUUUCAAAGAUGAAGUUCUUAUCCUC
rnacentral:lncRNA from 1 species